GACGAACGCUGGCGGCGUGCCUAAUACAUGCAAGUAGAACGCUGAAGACUUUAGCUUGCUAAAGUUGGAAGAGUUGCGAACGGGUGAGUAACGCGUAGGUAACCUGCCUACUAGCGGGGGAUAACUAUUGGAAACGAUAGCUAAUACCGCAUAACAGCAUUUAACCCAUGUUAGAUGCUUGAAAGGAGCAAUUGCUUCACUAGUAGAUGGACCUGCGUUGUAUUAGCUAGUUGGUGAGGUAACGGCUCACCAAGGCGACGAUACAUAGCCGACCUGAGAGGGUGAUCGGCCACACUGGGACUGAGACACGGCCCAGACUCCUACGGGAGGCAGCAGUAGGGAAUCUUCGGCAAUGGGGGCAACCCUGACCGAGCAACGCCGCGUGAGUGAAGAAGGUUUUCGGAUCGUAAAGCUCUGUUGUAAGAGAAGAACGUGUGUGAGAGUGGAAAGUUCACACAGUGACGGUAACUUACCAGAAAGGGACGGCUAACUACGUGCCAGCAGCCGCAGUAAAAC
rnacentral:rRNA from 1 species